rnacentral:rRNA from 1 species
AAGCAGAAGUAUCACAUGGUCAGCUGGCCUGACAUCUGCAAGCCCAGGGAGCAGGGUGGAUUGGGCAUCAUGUGCUCUAAAUGGAUGAAUAUUGCCCUCCUAUCCUAGUGGCUGUGGUGUAUCACGCAGGGUCAUGGUGGCCUCUGGCUGGACAUUAUCCGGAAUAAGUACCUGCGUGGUCAACCCCUUGCCUUCUGCCAGAAAUCUGGAGGAUCUCAGUUCUGGCAGUCCCUCGUCCAGCUUCUACCGGUGCUCCGCAUUGGUACCUCUAUCUCGGUGGGGUCCGGCCUCUCGACGCUCUUCUAG